AACGAACGCUGGCGGCAUGCCUAACACAUGCAAGUCGAACGAGACCUUCGGGUCUAGGGGCGCACGGGUGCGUAACGCGUGGGAACCUGCCCUUAGGUUCGGAAUAACUCCCCGAAAGGGGUGCUAAUACCGGAUAAUGUCUUCGGACCAAAGAUUUAUCGCCUUUGGAUGGGCCCGCGUUGGAUUAGCUAGUUGGUAGGGUAAAAGCCUACCAAGGCGACGAUCCAUAGCUGGUCUGAGAGGAUGCUCAGCCACACUGGGACUGAGACACGGCCCAGACUCCUACGGGAGGCAGCAGUGGGGAAUAUUGGACACUGGGCGAAAGCCUGAUCCAGCAAUGCCGCGUGAGUGAUGAAGGCCUUAGGGUUGUAAAGCUCUUUUACCCGGGAUGAUAAUGACAGUACCGGGAGAAUAAGCUCCGGCUAACUCCGUG
rnacentral:rRNA from 1 species